GUCAGGAGUUCGAGACCAGCCUGGCCAACGUGGUGAAACCCCAUCUCCACUAAAAAUACAAAAAAUUAGCUGGGUGUGGUGGCGAGUGCCCGUAAUCCCAGCUCCUUGGGAGGCUGAGGCAGGAGAACCGCUUGAACCUGGGAGGCAGAGGUUGCAGUGAGCCGAGAUUCCGCCACUGCACUCCAGCCUAGGUGACAGUGUGAGACUGUCUCAAAAAAAAAAAAAAGACAUACCUGAGACUGAGUAAUUCAUAAAGGAAAGAGGUUUAACUGACUCACAGUUCUACAUGACUGGGGAGGCCACACAAUCAUGGCUGAAGGCAAAUAAGGAGCAAAGUCACGUCUUAUAUGGUGCCAGGCAAGAGAGCUUGGGUAGGGGAAUUCCCCUUUAUAAAACCAUCAGAUCUCGUGAGACUUGAAUACUAUCAUGAGAACAGCCCAGGAAAGACCUGCCCCAAUAAUUCCAUUACCUCCUCCUGCGUCCCUCCCAUGACAGAUAGGGAUUAUGGGGACUAUAAUUCAAGAUGAGAUUGGAGUGGGGACAGAGCCAAACUAUAUCACAAGGCAUAGUUGAAGAGAAAUGUGAUUGGCAGAAUAAUGGUCCCGUUCUAAUCCUGGAAUUUGUGAAUAUGUUACAGUACAUGACAAAGGGGAAUUAAGGCAGUAGAUGGAAUUAAGGUUGCUAAUCAGCUGACUUUGAAAUAGGGAGAUCAUCCUGGAUUAUCUGGGUAGACCCAGUGUAAUCACAAGGGUGCUAAAAAGUAAAACAGGGAGGCAGACAAGAUCAGAGUGAGGCAGUAGAAGAAGGGUUCAUUCUGCUGCUACGGCUUUGAAGAUGGAGGAGGAAGACCAUGAACCAAAGAAUGCAAGAAACCUCUAGAAGCUACACAGGCAGCAAUAGAAAGUUAACAUGGGGGCAGGGUUGGGGGAAGGAGUCCGAGAGCCUGAGGCCUGAGAACAAGACAGGAAGACAUUGCUGGACAUUUAUUUUAUGACGUGCCUCAUCAGCAGAACAAAGAAGGGCAUGGACUUAUGUUUAAAAACUGUCCAGAAGUGACCAAAGAAAUUCACCAGUGAUGCAGAUGAGCUCCUAAUAAUCAUGCCAUCGGAGCAGGCUGUGAUAGCCUGGAAAUCCUGCCUGAAACCAAACUGCAACAUUUCCAACUAAGAAAUCAAGCGGUGAUAAACCUCAGUAUCUGAAAGGGUUAAAUAUUGUGCCCACGUGACUACUGUUCUUUCUUUCUGUGAAUUAAUGUGUGUGCCAGAAAAUAUUUGUGAAUAAAAAACAAUUACAUAAUCUCAUUGUCAUGAAUGUGGUUAUUUAUCUCUGAGCGUUAAGACUGAUUUUUCCCCCCACUGAACAUCUUAGUGUAAAUAUCAGAGAAAAAAUAUACUACCCACCGUAAUAAUAUAAAACAUCUAAUUAGCUUAAAUUGUUCUGAAUAGGAAAUUGUAUAAUUUAGAAAUAAUAAAUUGGUUAUAAAAAGCCAAUCAUUUCCCAGUCAGAUAAAAUUCCUGUUAUUCACAGAACAAAUUUUUCUAAUUUGUUGCACUGGGCAACAAAUUAGAUCAAAAUUUUAAAAUAGUUACUAUAAUAAACAAGAUCAAUAAAAAUCUUUCCUUAAGUUUUCUUGAUGAAAAUAUUCUCAAGCCAUUUAAAAACAAUUCAAAACUCAGAAAAUUAUGCAUCCUGCAAUGCUUACAAUUCCUCUGGCAGUAAAAUUAAAAACAAACAAAGAAGAGUAAGUAAUUCAAAUAAAUUUGGAAAUAGUUCAUACUUGUAAAGAAGCAACAUAACGUGACAUUUCUUUUGAUUUAUUCAAUAGCCUAUUAGAUAAUGUAUGCUAUUUGUCCAAAAAUGUUUUAGUUACGGGGUAAAAAUUUAAAUUCUUAGUUCUUCAUUUGGUUAUUUAGACAUACAAAAUAAAAUAGAUGAUUUAAAAAGUCAAAAUGACUCGUUAAUAACUUACUGCUUUUAAUGGUUUCUACCUAAACGUCUGGCAUGCCUAUUUAUAGUCUUAUGUUAUAU
rnacentral:lncRNA from 1 species